rnacentral:rRNA from 1 species
UACGUAGGCAGCGAGCGUUGUCCGGAAUUAUUGGGCGUAAAGAGCUCGUAGGCGGUUUGUCGCGUCUGCUGUGAAAUCCCGAGGCUCAACCUCGGGCCUGCAGUGGGUACGGGCAGACUGGAGUGCGGUAGGGGAGAACGGAAUUCCUGGUGUAGCGGUGAAAUGCGCAGAUAUCAGGAGGAACACCGGUGGCGAAGGCGGUUCUCUGGGCAUGACCUGACGCUGAGGAGCGAAAGUGUGGGGAGCGAACAGG